rnacentral:rRNA from 1 species
AGGACGAACGCUGGCGGCGUGGCUAAGACAUGCAAGUCGUACGGGACCGGAGCAAUCCGGUCCAGUGGCGGACGGGUGAGUAAUGUAUCGCUAACGUACCCCGAAAUCUGGGAUAGCCAUCCGAAAGGAUGGGUAAUACCAGGUAACAUCACCGGAAGGCAUCUUCUGGUGCUCAUAGGGUCACCGUUUUCGGGAGCGGGGCGAGUAUACGGUAUCAAGUCUAGUUGGCGGGGUAACGGCCCACCAAGGCGACGACGCGUAGCCGGACUGAGAGGUUGGCCGGCCACAUUGGGACUGAGACACUUCCCAGACUCCUACGGGGGGCUGCAGUAACGAAUCUUCCGCAAUGCACGCAAGUGUGACGGAGCGACGCCGCGUGUGGGACGAAGCCCCUUGGGGUGUAAACCACUGUCAGAGGAUAGAAAGUUCUGAUCGUCCUCAGAGGAAGGCACGGCUAACUCUGUGCCAGCAGCCGC